rnacentral:misc_RNA from 1 species
UUUUUUUUUCUUAAACUGAAACUUUAUAUUCCCUUCUACUAAAUUCUACAGAGUCUUAACAAUUUUCUAAUCUGAAACACGAUUGAUUAAACCCAGCUACCCAAGUUCACAUCCCUUCCCAAAAAGAAUUCCAAGCUCACACUAAAGUUGAAGUUCAAAUCAAAGCCAUCAAAUGAGUAAGAGAGGAACCCAAUAUGCAUAUCGAUCAAAACAUGCAUAAAGCAAAGAAUUAAAAUGAAUACCUUGAUGAUUAGAAC